GUGGGGAAUCUUGCGCAAUGGGCGAAAGCCUGACGCAGCCAUGCCGCGUGAAUGAUGAAGGUCUUAGGAUUGUAAAAUUCUUUCACCGGGGACGAUAAUGACGGUACCCGGAGAAGAAGCCCCGGCUAACUUCGUGCCAGCAGCCGCGGUAAUACGAAGGGGGCGAGCGUUAUUCGGAAUCACUGUGCGUAAAGCGGGCGUAGGCGGUUUUGUAAGUUAGGAGUGAAAGCCCAGGGCUCAACCUUGGAAUUGCUCUUAAAACUGCAAGGCUCGAAUCUCGGAGAGGAUAGCGGAAUUUCCAGUGUAGCAGGGAAAUGCGUAGAUAUUGGAAGGAACACCAGUGGCGUAAGCGGCUAUCUGGACGAGUAUUGACGCUGAGGCACGAAAGCGUGGGGAUCAAACAGGAUUAGAUACCCCUGUAGUCC
rnacentral:rRNA from 1 species